AGAGUUUGAUCCUGGCUCAGGACGAACGCUGGCGGCGUGCCUAACACAUGCAAGUCGAACGGACGAGGCCCCUUCGGGGACCGAGUUAGUGGCGGACGGGUGAGUAACGCGUGAGCAACCUGCCUUUCAGAGGGGGACAACAGUUGGAAACGACUGCUAAUACCGCAUGAUGCAGCGAGAUCGCAUGGUCUUGCUGUCAAAGAUUUAUCGCUGAAAGAUGGGCUCGCGUCUGAUUAGCUAGUUGGAGGGGUAACGGCCCACCAAGGCGACGAUCAGUAGCCGGACUGAGAGGUUGAACGGCCACAUUGGGACUGAGAUACGGCCCAGACUCCUACGGGAGGCAGCAGUGGGUAAUAUUGGGCAAUGGGGGAAACCCUGACCCAGCAACGCCGCGUGAAGGAAGAAGGCUUUCGGGUUGUAAACUUCUUUUACCAGGGACGAAGAACGUGACGGUACCUGGAGAAAAAGCCACGGCUAACUACGUGCCAGCAGCCGCGGUAAUACGUAGGUGGCAAGCGUUGUCCGGAUUUACUGGGUGUAAAGGGCGUGUAGGCGGAGCUGCAAGUCAGUUGUGAAAUCUGGGGGCUUAACCCUCAAACUGCAUUUGAAACUGUAGCCCUUGAGUAUCGGAGAGGCAGGCGGAAUUCCUAGUGUAGCGGUGAAAUGCGUAGAUAUUAGGAAGAACACCAGUGGCGAAGGCGGCCUGCUGGACGACAACUGACGCUGAGGCGCGAAAGCGUGGGGAGCAAACAGGAUUAGAUACCCUGGUAGUCCACGCUGUAAACGAUGAAUACCAGGUGUGGGGGGACUGACCCCCUCCGUGCCGGAGUUAACACAAUAAGUAUUCCACCUGGGGAGUACGACCGCAAGGUUGAAACUCAAAGGAAUUGACGGGGGCCCGCACAAGCAGUGGAUUAUGUGGUUUAAUUCGACGCAACGCGAAGAACCUUACCGGGAUUUGACAUCCUACUAACGAAGCAGAGAUGCAUUAGGUGCCCUUCGGGGAAAGUAGAGACAGGUGGUGCAUGGUUGUCGUCAGCUCGUGUCGUGAGAUGUUGGGUUAAGUCCCGCAACGAGCGCAACCCCUAUUGUUAGUUGCUACGCAAGAGCACUCUAGCGAGACUGCCGUUGACAAAACGGAGGAAGGCGGGGACGACGUCAAAUCAUCAUGCCCCUUAUGUCCCGGGCUACACACGUAAUACAAUGGCGGUCAACAAAGGGAAGCAAAGCCGCGAGGCAGAGCAAACCCCCAAAAGCCGUCUCAGUUCGGAUUGCAGGCUGCAACUCGCCUGCAUGAAGCUGGAAUUGCUAGUAAUCGUGGAUCAGAAUGCCACGGUGAAUACGUUCCCGGGCCUUGUACACACCGCCCGUCACACCAUGAGAGUCGGGAACACCCGAAGUCCGUAGUCUAACCCGCAAGGGAGGGCGCGGCCGAAGGUGGGUCUGAUAAUUGGGGUGAAGUCGUAACAAGGUA
rnacentral:rRNA from 1 species